AGUGAACGCUGGCGGCGUACCUAAUACAUGAAAGUCGAAAGAAGUGGCGAAAGGGUGAGUAAUAUAUAGUUAAUCUGCCAUACACCAAGGAACAACAGUUGGAAAAGGCUGCUAAUACCUAAUAGUUUAGGAUAAGACUAUAUCAUAUCUGUUAGUUGGUAAGGUCAUGGCUUACCAAGGCUAUGACGCGUAACUGGUCUGAGAGGAUGAUCAGUCACAUUUGUACGUAGACACGGUACAAACUCCGACUGGAGGCAGCAGUAAGGAAUAUUGCUCUAUUGGUGAAUCCCUGACGCAGUAACGCCGCGUGGUGGAUGACACUGUUCUGAUCGUAAACUCCUUUUAUCAGGAAAGCGGGACCUGAUGAAUAAGCACCGGCUAACUCCGUGCCAGCAGCCGCGGUAAUAC
rnacentral:rRNA from 1 species